rnacentral:rRNA from 1 species
AGUGAACGCUGGCGGUAGGCCUAACACAUGCAAGUCGAACGGCAGCACAGUAAGAGCUUGCUCUUACGGGUGGCGAGUGGCGGACGGGUGAGGAAUACAUCGGAAUCUACUUUUUCGUGGGGGAUAACGUAGGGAAACUUACGCUAAUACCGCAUACGACCUACGGGUUAAAGCAGGGGAUCUUCGGACCUUGCGCGAUUGAAUGAGCCGAUGUCGGAUUAGCUAGUUGGCGGGGUAAAGGCACACCAAGGCGACGAUCCGUAGCUGGUCUGAGAGGAUGAUCAGCCACACUGGAACUGAGACACGGUCCAGACUCCUACGGGAGGCAGCAGUGGGGAAUAUUGGACAAUGGGCGCAAGCCUGAUCCAGCCAUACCGCGUGGGUGAAGAAGGCCUUCGGGUUGUAAAGCCCUUUUGUUGGGAAAGAAAAGCAGCAGGUUAAUACCCCGCUGUUCUGACGGUACCCAAAGAAUAAGCACCGGCUAACUUCGUG